AUUCCAGCUCCAAGAGCGUAUAUUAAAGUUGUUGCGGUUAAAAAGCUCGUAGUUGAACCGAGGGGGCGGCGCGCGGCAAAAAAGCUCCGGGUCCUCCGCUCGUCGCGGGGGGUUCGGGGUCGCGCGUCCGCUUUCGAGUUCGCGGUGUUAAAACCGGCUCGAUCGGGGGCGGGGGUUUUUUCCUCCGUCGUCGGUCGCGGUCGGAUCGCGGAGUUUUACUUUGAAUAAAUUAGAGUGUUCAAAGCGGACGGAUCACGUCUCGAAUAGAUUAGCAUGGGAUAACGAAACAAGACCAAACAGGGGGGCGCUUCCGGGCGUUCCCGUCGGUCCAAAUUUGCUGGUUUCUGGGGCCGAGGUAAUGAUUAACAGGGACGGUUGGGGUCGCUCGUACUCGGUGGAGAGAGGUGAAAUUCUAAGACCCAUCGAAGACGAACAAGUGCGAAGGCAUUCGACAAGGAUGUUUUCUUUAAUCAAGAACGAAAGUUAUGGGAUCGAAGAUGAUCAGAUACCGUCGUAGUCAUAACCGUAAACGAUGUUGACUCGGGAUCCAGGGAUGUUACAUGGAUGACUCUCUGGGCACCGUGUGCGAAAGCACAAGUAUUCGAACUCCGGGGGGAGUAUGGUCGCAAGGCUGAAACUUAAAGGAAUUGACGGAAGGGCACCACCAGGUGUGGAAUCUGCGGCUUAAUUUGACCCAACACGGGGAAACUUACCCAGUCCGGACGCGACGAGGAUUGACAGAUUGAUAGUUCUUUCUUGAAUUCGUGGAAGCCGGUGCAUGGCCGUUUUUAGUUGGUGGAGCGAUUUGUCUGGUUAAGUCCGAUAACGAACGAGACCUAAUUUUAUUAAAUAGUGGUGCGAACAAGGGGGCUUUCGCGGCGGCGGCGGGUUCGGGUUCUCCCGGCUCGUCGUCUCGUCGCGGGGCUCCCGCUAAUUUGUCCGCAGCGAUUGUACUUCUUAGAGAGACACUUGGUCGAUAACAGCAGCCAAUGGAAGUUUUAGGCAAAAACAGGUCUGUGAUGCCGCUAGAUGUCUGGGGCUGCACGCGCGUUACACUGACGUGUUCAACGAGUAUUUUAGAACGACCUGGCCCGAGGGGGUUUGGGCAAUCUCUAAACGCACGUCGUGAUGGGGAUCGUGCUUUGUAACUAUCGCACGUGAACGAGGAAUACCUAGUAAGGGCAGGUCAUCAACCUGUCCUGAUUACGUCCCUGCCCUUUGUACACACCGCCCGUCGCUUCUACCGAUUGAAUUGCUCGAUGAGGACUCGGGAGACGGAGCGUGGCGGCGGUCCUCGUGGCCGCCGCAUCUCGUUUCUUCGUCGAACCUGUUCGAAUCUCGCAGUUUAGAGGAAGAAGAAGUCGUAACAAGGUCUCCGUAGGUGAACCUUCGGAGG
rnacentral:rRNA from 1 species